AACGAGGCCGACCUGCGGCUGAGUUACCUGCGGAAGGAUCAUUACCGAGUGAGGGCCCUCCGGGUCCAACCUCCCACCCGUGUUUAACGAACCUUGUUGCUUCGGCGGGCCCGCCUCACGGCCGCCGGGGGGCACCCCGCCCCCGGGCCCGCGCCCGCCGAAGACACCUGUGAACGCUGUCUGAAGUUGCAGUCUGAGACACUAGCUCAAUCAGUUAAAACUUUUAACAAUGGAUCUCAG
rnacentral:misc_RNA from 1 species